UCAGGAUGAACGCUAGCGACAGGCCUAACACAUGCAAGUCGAGGGCAGCGAAGAGGUAGCCAAUUACCUUGUCGGCGACCGGCGCACGGGUGAGUAACACGUAUGCAAUCCACCUGUAACAGGGGGAUAACCCGGAGAAAUCCGGACUAAUACCCCAUAAUAUGGGCGCUCCGCAUGGAGAGCCCAUUAAAGAGAGCAAUUUUGGUUACAGACGAGCAUGCGCUCCAUUAGCCAGUUGGCGGGGUAACGGCCCACCAAAGCGACGAUGGAUAGGGGUUCUGAGAGGAAGGUCCCCCACAUUGGAACUGAGACACGGUCCAAACUCCUACGGGAGGCAGCAGUGAGGAAUAUUGGUCAAUGGUCGGCAGACUGAACCAGCCAAGUCGCGUGAGGGAAGACGGCCCUACGGGUUGUAAACCUCUUUUGUCGGAGAGUAAAGUACGCUACGUGUAGUGUAUUGCAAGUAUCCGAAGAAAAAGCAUCGGCUAACUCCGUG
rnacentral:rRNA from 1 species